rnacentral:rRNA from 1 species
AGGUGCGUGCAUGGUUGUCGUCAGCUCGUGUCGUGAGAUGUUGGGUUAAGUCCCGCAACGAGCGCAACCCCUAUUUCUAGUAGCCAGCAGGUAAGGCUGGGCACUCUGGAGAGACUGCCCGGGACAACCGGGAGGAAGGCGGGGAUGACGUCAAAUCAUCAUGCCCCUUAUGACCAGGGCGACACACGUGCUACAAUGGCGUAAACAAAGGGAAGCAGGACGGCGACGUUGAGCAAAUCCCAAAAAUAACGUCCCAGUUCGGAUUGUAGUCUGCAACCCGACUACAUGAAGCUGGAAUCGCUAGUAAUCGCGAAUCAGAAUGUCGCGGUGAAUACGUUCCCGGGUCUUGUACACACCGAA